GCCCAGGUGGUGAAAUUGGUAGACACGCUACCUUGAGGGGGUAGUGACUGUAUAGUCGUGCCGGUUCGAGUCCGGCUCUGGGCACCA
rnacentral:tRNA from 2 species